AUUUAUGUGAAGUAACGCAGAUAAUGGAUGCCUUGGCUUGUUUGGCCGAAGAAGGACGCAAAUUGACCGCGAAAGUCGUCGGGGAGCUGUCAUCAAGCUUUGAUCCGGCGGUGUCCGAAUGGGGUAACCCCCCUUGUAGAGAUGCAAGGGAUCCCUCACCUUUUGUUCUUGAAGAAAUUCGAGGCUAAGAGGUGAGGGAAGGUAACCUGGGGAACUGAAAUAUCUAAGUACCCAGAGGAAUAGAAAUCGUAAGAGAUUCCCUUAGUAAGCGACGAGCGAACAGGGAAAAGCCCAAACCCCUCACUUUUUCUUUUCAAUGUAAGGUUUUUGACAUCUUUUUGUUUUAAUAUUGUUUUUAUGUUUUAUAUGUAUGUGUUGUACAGCCCAGCCAUUGAUCGUUAUUAUGUGGGACAAACCUCAGACUUACGACGACGCUACACAGAACACAACUCUGGAUGUAGUAAAUGGACCAGUCGAACGAAUGACUGGUGCCUGGUGUACUAUGAAGCAUACGAGGCACGAAAAUAUGCUCAACGCAGAGAAAAAGCGUUGAAAAAACGAGCAAAAGGAUGGACAGAACUCUUGAAAAGAAUUGGAAGGAAAGAGUGAGGGGUGUUGUAGGACCUGAAUAGUGGAUAUGUCUUCUUAGUAGAAUGCGGUGGAAUACGCAACCAAAGAACGUGACAGUCGUGUAUACGAAAAUAAGACAUGCCAUACAGUGUUCCUGAGUAAGUUGGGAGACGGCAAACUCCCUUCCGAAGCUGGGGUGACCACACUCCAAGGCUAAAUACCAAACAAGACCGAUAGUGAACGAGUACCGUGAGGGAAAGGUGAAAAGAAGGGUGGAAGACCCCGUGAAAUAGAAUCUGAAAUUAUCUGCUAACAAUCAGAGAGAGCCCCUCACCUUGUCGUCUGGAUAAACCAGAAAACAAGGUGAGGGGUAAUCUCGUGCCUAUUGAAGAAUGAGCCUGCGAGUAUUUGAUAACUGCUUUAGGUUAACCCGUUUCGCGGGGAAGCCGUAGUGAAAGCGAGCCUGAAUAGGGCGUCUCUCACCACUUGUGGUGAGAGAGUAGUUAUUGAAUGACCCGAAACCGGGUGAGCUUACCAUGACCAGGAUGAGCUCUGACGAAAGUCAGAGGGAGGUCCGCACCGGUGUCCGCUGCAAGGGGCUCGGAUGAGUUGUGGUAAGGGGUAAUAUGCCAAUCGAACCCGGAGAUAGCUGGUUCUCCCUGAAAUAUAUUUAGGUAUAGGGUCGUGUUAAGACAAGAAGGGGUAGAGCACUGAUCGGGUGUCUCGGGAGCAAUCUCGAGCAUCUAGUCAAACUCCGAAUACUUUUUGUUGUUUCACGGCACUCAGCACCUGGGAGCUAAGUUCCAGGAGCAAAAGGAAAACAAACCAGACCUACAGAUAAGGUCUCAAAGUGUACAUUUAGUGGUAAAGGAAGUUCGUAUCCAAAGACACCUAGGAGGUAGGCUUAGACGCAGCCACCCUUUAAAGAAAGCGUAACAGCUCACUAGCCGUAGGAUACGUGCGCCGAAAAUCCAACGAGGCUCAAAUGUACCACCGAAGCUUAGGUCCCUCACUUUACUUGAGGUAAUCUUGCUACAACUUUUAUAU
rnacentral:rRNA from 1 species